CGUAUAAAAUCUCGGUUUUAGUAUUUUAAAUUUAAUUAAAAUAAUGAAAGUUUAGGUGGAAGUUUUAAAAAAAGUAUUUGAAUAAGUAUAUUUAUUAAAAUAACAUUGGGUAAAGAAGAAUAGAUAUUUAACGUAGAACUAGACUAAAAUAAAUAAUAUAAUUUAAAACUUAUAAAAUUAAGAUUACUUUAUAAGUUGAUGUUGCUAUAUGUUUGAUUAAUUUUAUUCAUUAUAAAUAGCACCUGAUAGUUAAUAUCUUGUCCAAGGAGACUUUUCUGAUUUUAUGGCGGUUUUAGAAAUUUAAAGUUCUUUUAUUGAUUAUGAUUAAAAUGAUUUAAAAUUCAAAUUU
rnacentral:rRNA from 1 species